rnacentral:rRNA from 1 species
CUAACCUGCCCACUGAUUUAUUAAAGGGCCGCGGUAUAUUGACUGUGCAAAGGUAGCAUAAUCAUUUGUCUUUUAAUUGAAGGCUAGAAUGAAUGGUUGAAUGAAGUAUUAACUGUCUCAUUAUAAAAAAAAUAAAAAUUUAAUUUUUUAGUUAAAAAGCUAAAAUUUAAUUAGAGGACGAGAAGACCCUAUAGAUCUUUAUAAUAUGUUUUUAAAUAAUUUAAUUGAAAAAAAAAUAUUAUUUAAAAUUUUAUUAUUUUGUUGGGGUGACAGGAAAAUUUAAAUAACUAUUUUUAUAUAAAAAACAAUAAUAAUUGAAUAAUUGAUCCAAUAAUAUUGAUUAAAAGUUUAAGUUACCUUAGGGAUAACAGCGUAAUUUUUUUGGCGAGUUCAUAUUAAUAAAAAAGAUUGCGACCUCGAUGUUGAAUUAAAGA